rnacentral:tRNA from 3 species
GGUCGCGUAGCUCAGUGGUAGAGCACUACCUUGACAUGGUAGGGGUCGCUGGUUCAAAUCCAGUCGUGGCCACCA